rnacentral:rRNA from 1 species
GAAGAGGGAAACAACCCAGACCGCCAGCUAAGGUCCCAAAGUCAUGGUUAAGUGGGAAACGAUGUGGGAAGGCCCAGACAGCCAGGAUGUUGGCUUAGAAGCAGCCAUCAUUUAAAGAAAGCGUAAUAGCUCACUGGUCGAGUCGGCCUGCGCGGAAGAUGUAACGGGGCUAAACCAUGCACCGAAGCUGCGGCAGCGACGCUGAUGCGUUGUUGGGUAGGGGAGCGUUCUGUAAGCCUGUGAAGGUGUGCUGUGAGGUAUGCUGGAGGUAUCAGAAGUGCGAAUGCUGACAUAAGUAACGAUAAAGCGGGUGAAAAGCCCGCUCGCCGGAAGACCAAGGGUUCCUGUCCAACGUUAAUCGGGGCAGGGUGAGUCGACCCCUAAGGCGAGGCCGAAAGGCGUAGUCGAUGGGAAACAGGUUAAUAUUCCUGUACUUGGUGUUACUGCGAAGGGGGGACGGAGAAGGCUAUGUUGGCCGGGCGACGGUUGUCCCGGUUUAAGCGUGUAGGCUGGUUUUCCAGGCAAAUCCGGAAAACUAAGGCUGAGGCGUGAUGACGAGGCACUACGGUGCUGAAGCAACAAAUGCCCUGCUUCCAGGAAAAGCCUCUAAGCAUCAGGUAACAUCAAAUCGUACCCCAAACCGACACAGGUGGUCAGGUAGAGAAUACCAAGGCGCUUGAGAGAACUCGGGUGAAGGAACUAGGCAAAAUGGUGCCGUAACUUCGGGAGAAGGCACGCUGAUAUGUAGGUGAAGUCCCUCGCGGAUGGAGCUGAAAUCAGUCGAAGAUACCAGCUGGCUGCAACUGUUUAUUAAAAACACAGCACUGUGCAAACACGAAAGUGGACGUAUACGGUGUGACGCCUGCCCGGUGCCGGAAGGUUAAUUGAUGGGGUCAGCGCAAGCGAAGCUCUUGAUCGAAGCCCCGGUAAACGGCGGCCGUAACUAUAACGGUCCUAAGGUAGCGAAAUUCCUUGUCGGGUAAGUUCCGACCUGCACGAAUGGCGUAAUGAUGGCCAGGCUGUCUCCACCCGAGACUCAGUGAAAUUGAACUCGCUGUGAAGAUGCAGUGUACCCGCGGCAAGACGGAAAGACCCCGUGAACCUUUACUAUAGCUUGACACUGAACAUUGAGCCUUGAUGUGUAGGAUAGGUGGGAGGCUUUGAAGUGUGGACGCCAGUCUGCAUGGAGCCGACCUUGAAAUACCACCCUUUAAUGUUUGAUGUUCUAACGUUGACCCGUAAUCCGGGUUGCGGACAGUGUCUGGUGGGUAGUUUGACUGGGGCGGUCUCCUCCUAAAGAGUAACGGAGGAGCACGAAGGUUGGCUAAUCCUGGUCGGACAUCAGGAGGUUAGUGCAAUGGCAUAAGCCAGCUUGACUGCGAGCGUGACGGCGCGAGCAGGUGCGAAAGCAGGUCAUAGUGAUCCGGUGGUUCUGAAUGGAAGGGCCAUCGCUCAACGGAUAAAAGGUACUCCGGGGAUAACAGGCUGAUACCGCCCAAGAGUUCAUAUCGACGGCGGUGUUUGGCACCUCGAUGUCGGCUCAUCACAUCCUGGGGCUGAAGUAGGUCCCAAGGGUAUGGCUGUUCGCCAUUUAAAGUGGUACGCGAGCUGGGUUUAGAACGUCGUGAGACAGUUCGGUCCCUAUCUGCCGUGGGCGCUGGAGAACUGAGGGGGGCUGCUCCUAGUACGAGAGGACCGGAGUGGACGCAUCACUGGUGUUCGGGUUGUCAUGCCAAUGGCACUGCCCGGUAGCUAAAUGCGGAAGAGAUAAGUGCUGAAAGCAUCUAAGCACGAAACUUGCCCCGAGAUGAGUUCUCCCUGACUCCUUGAGAGUCCUGAAGGAACGUUGAAGACGACGACGUUGAUAGGCCGGGUGUGUAAGCGCAGCGAUGCGUUGAGCUAACCGGUACUAAUGAACCGUGAGGCUUAACCUUACAACGCCGAAGGUGUUU